rnacentral:lncRNA from 1 species
UGAAGUACAUCCAGGACUGGGGUGGAAUUGAUUGAAGAGGAGAAGAGGGUUGAGACGGAAAGAGAGUGGAAAAAGCUGAGAGCGGAGGAGACUGCACUCUACCUGAAGAAGCUGGACUUCAUUCACACACGUAUAAAGCAAGUUUUAGAUGUUUUGAAGUCGUCAAAGCCUUGAAUUUUGAAGAGGUAUUGUUUGUUGUUGUUCUGAGGCAGGCAGUUUGUCAUUAAUCUAUGUUUUGAGCUCAUAAUUUUCCUUUACUGUAAUCACGAGUUUUUAGCUUCCUAGUUCACUAUCAAUCAUGUUCCUCUUAAUAAUGGAAACUGUAGAAAUGCUCUCUAUGUUUAACCUUUAUAUAUAUAUAUAUAUAUACACAUAUCAAUCUUGAUCACCAACAUGUUUGUGUUUAAUGUGUCAAUGUAAUUUUGGCUUGCUUUAUUCGUUUAUUAUUAUUUUUUAAUGCCAUAGUACUUAUUUCUUAUUUAUCAUAUGGCAUAUCCUGUUGUAUCUGAUCUUGAUUAGAGUAUUUCCUUUGUUUGUUGGAAUUUGAAUUGACCAAUAAUUUGUUAAAAGUGUCCACAGUACUUGUUUCUUUUUACUUUGUAUAUUUUGUUUCUCCUUUAACUUUGGGAGAUGCUCUAUUAGUUAACGAGGACAUACAAGCAGUUACAUAACAAUUAUAAGGAAAUUAAGAAUAUGAAAAUGGUACAAUCUUUAAUAGGGUUCCUCUGGGACCAACAACUGAAUGGACCUAUUGAUCAUUUUGUGUUGAUUAUCUCUAAGUGUCUCAAAAAGACAUGUUACCUGGUGUGUGUUAGGUCAAAAUAAUUACACUGUAAUAUAAAUCUGAACAAUUCAUAGUAAAUAGUUUUGGUCAUUGGAUGUACUUCUGUGAAUAUUGACUGUUUCUAUUAACAUAUGAUUGACUACUCACUUCUAUAGAUGGUCAAUUUGUAGGGAUUUCAAUAAUCGUUAAACAACUUUUCCGGAUAGAGUUUUUGAUAAAAUAUCUGAAGGGUCGUGUUUUGUGCUUUCUAUUCUUAAAUCCUUCCCCACAGCCCAAAAAAAGCCAGAAUGUUCAUUAAAUACUUAAUUCUUGUAAGGAUGAUAAGCUAGAGUCUGAUAUAGAUUCUAUAUUUAAGUUUCCAUUUGUUCUUUACAAGAGAGAAUGCUGUUGAUAAUUUUCUUUUUGCUGACAAAUUGCAUAUUUGAGUUCAGGAUAUUGCUUAUCUGAAUUCAGGAUAACAUUAUUAGCAUCCUUCAAGUGAUAUCUGCACCUUCAUCUUUCUCGAAUGUUUACUUUAUAACCCUAAGUUCCCUUCUAAGAUUCCAAACUCAAUCGCUGUUUGUUAGUGAUUGACAUCUUAUGAAAUAAAUUGGACUUUUUAUACAACUUAUGGAAUAUUUCAGGUUGGGAUUGAUGGUUCAAGGUGGUCAAGGAUUUCAAUGGGCAUUGUUUGGAAAGUUGAAGGCUUUUCCGAAGUGUUCGACAAUAUGGAUUUUGAAAAAGAAAGAACUAGAUUCUCGGCAGUAGUUUUGUGCAUGUAGACGCUGAACACAAGUAAAUGAGAUUUCCAGGAACAGAGUCUUGCCAUGUGCAGUUUUUUCUUUCUUCACAGUUAAAUUUUAGUGUGUACGAGCAAGACGGCAACCAUAUUGGUUUGAGGAAUCAAAAGAAAGAACCCCUUUAAUGACUGGAAGUUCCUGCCAUUUUAACAACUCUAAUUGGUGAAAGCUUUAGUAUCUUGAAUUCUAAACAAGAAAAUCAGAUGUUGGGCACAAUGUUAUAUUUAUUAGAAACACUUUGUCCUAUUUCUUUUAGCAUCAAAUGUUGGAUAAAAUCAUGAAACCCAUAUCAGCCGUUUACCUGAUCUUGUGCCUUUUAAUUUGAUAUUCACAUCUUUAGUUCUUGAUACUCUGUUUGCAAAGCUAGAAGGCAAACAAUUCCGGUUAUUGCUUUUUGAAAGAGAUUAUUCCAUUUCUUUGUUGUUUGAUGAGCAUACCAGCUAGGCUUUAUCAAUUUCUUUUUCUUUUGAUUUUUUCUAUUAUCUUAGGUUCCAGUAUUGAAAAAG